GGGUAGCCGGCCUGAGAGGGCGACCGGCCACACUGGGACUGAGACACGGCCCAGACUCCUGCGGGAGGCAGCAGUGGGGAAUAUUGCGCAAUGGGCGAAAGCCUGACGCAGCGACGCCGCGUGGGGGAUGACGGCCUUCGGGUUGUAAACCUCUUUUACCACUCACGCAGGCUCCGGGUUUUCUCGGGGUUGACGGUAGGUGGGGAAUAAGGACCGGCUAACUACGUGCCAGCAGCCGCGGUAAUACGUAGGGUCCGAGCGUUGUCCGGAAUUAUUGGGCGUAAAGAGCUCGUAGGCGGCGUGUCGCGUCUGCUGUGAAAGACCGGGGCUUAACUCCGGUUCUGCAGUGGAUACGGGCAUGCUAGAGGUAGGUAGGGGAGACUGGAAUUCCUGGUGUAGCGGUGAAAUGCGCAGAUAUCAGGAGGAACACCGGUGGCGAAGGCGGGUCUCUGGGCCUUACCUGACGCUGAGGAGCGAAAGCAUGGGGAGCGAACAGGAUUAGAUACCCUGGUAGUCCAUGCCGUAAACGUUGGGCGCUAGGUGUGGGGACUUUCCACGGUUUCCGCGCCGUAGCUAACGCAUUAAGCGCCCCGCCUGGGGAGUAC
rnacentral:rRNA from 1 species